GAUGAACGCUGGCGGCGUGCCUAAUACAUGCAAGUAGAACGCUGAAGCUUGGUGCUUGCACCGAGCGGAUGAGUUGCGAACGGGUGAGUAACGCGUAGGUAACCUGCCUCUUAGCGGGGGAUAACUAUUGGAAACGAUAGCUAAUACCGCAUAAAAGUCGAUAUCGCAUGAUAUUGAUUUGAAAGGUGCAAAUGCAUCACUAAGAGAUGGACCUGCGUUGUAUUAGCUAGUUGGUGAGGUAACGGCUCACCAAGGCGACGAUACAUAGCCGACCUGAGAGGGUGAUCGGCCACACUGGGACUGAGACACGGCCCAGACUCCUACGGGAGGCAGCAGUAGAGAAUCUUCGGCAAUGGGGGCAACCCUGACCGAGCAACGCCGCGUGAGUGAAGAAGGUUUUCGGAUCGUAAAGCUCUGUUGUAAGAGAAGAACGAGUGUGAGAGUGGAAAGUUCACACUGUGACGGUAACUUACCAGAAAGGGACGGCUAACUACGUG
rnacentral:rRNA from 1 species